UUUUCUGAUUUUUUUAAUUUUAUUUUUUGUUUUUUGAUUUGGAUUUGUUUUUGUUUUAGAUUUUUAUUUAUCGAAUUGUUCCUCUCAAUUCGUUUUUUAAACAAAGAAAAAUAGAUGUUCUAUAUUCAAUGUACAAUAUGUUCUAUAUAAAUAUUCUACAAUGUGUUCUAAACAAUGUAUUCAAUGUUCUGAACUAUGUUAGCAUAUGUUCUAAGUUACUUAUCUUUUGUUCUGCAGUAUUUAAAACUAUGUUCUGUAUCUUUUUUUUGUUGGUGGAGAUGCAUUCGUCGUGUCAUCUGUUGCUGUUGGUGGUGAGGUGUUGUUGCCGUUGAGGCUCCAAAGGAGGAGAAGAAGGUUGAAGAGAAAGAAGAGUCGGAUGACCUAUUGUGUGUUCAAAAUUGUUAGGUGGAAGCUGGAAAGUUGAAACUGGUCUUUCCAUAAUAGUACAAUUUAGGGAUAAUAACACUCAACUGGUGUUAAUCCAUAGUGAUGGUGUCAAACCUUAUGAAUAGGUUGUAUUCUGAGUAAUUAUCCUUAUUAGGGGUUUUCUUGCUUAAGUUUAAUUUCUUGUUAGAUUGCAAUCUUGCAUAAUAAUAUCUUGAAUUUCUGCUAA